CGCUGGCGGCGUGCUUAACACAUGCAAGUCGAACGGUGACCCAGGGCUUGCCCUGGUGAUCAGUGGCGAACGGGUGAGUAACACGUGGGCAACCUGCCCCUGACUUCGGGAUAACUCCUCGAAAGAGGAGCUAAUACCGGAUACGACCACUUCGGACAUCCGAUGGUGGUGGAAAGUUCUUCGGUCAGGGAUGGGCCCGCGGCCUAUCAGCUAGUUGGUGGGGUAAUGGCCUACCAAGGCGACGACGGGUAGCCGGCCUGAGAGGGCGACCGGCCACACUGGGACUGAGACACGGCCCAGACUCCUACGGGAGGCAGCAGUGGGGAAUAUUGCGCAAUGGCGAAAGCCUGACGCAGCGACGCCGCGUGAGGGAUGAAGGCCUUCGGGUUGUAAACCUCUUUCAGCAGGGACGAAGCGAAAGUGACGGUACCUGCAGAAGAAGCACCGGCUAACUACGUG
rnacentral:rRNA from 1 species